GGGGUUGGUUGGUGCAGUUACAAGCUCGUAGUUGGAUUUCGGGCGCGUCGCGUUGGUCCGCCAACGGUGAGUACUUGCGUCGGCGCGCCUUCCUGCCGGGGACGGGCUCCUGGGCUUCACUGUCUGGGACUCGGAGUCGGCGACGUUACUUUGAGAAAAUUAGAGUGUUCAAAGCAGGCCUACGCUCGAAUACUUUAGCAUGGAAUAACACGAUAGGACUCUGGCCUAUCCUGUUGGUCUGUAGGACCGGAGUAAUGAUUAAGAGGGACAGUCGGGGGCAUUCGUAUUUCAUUGUCAGAGGUGAAAUUCUUGGAUUUAUGAAAGACGAACCACUGCGAAAGCAUUUGCCAAGGAUGUUUUCAUUAAUCAAGAACGAAAGUUGGGGGCUCGAAGACGAUUAGAUACCGUCGUAGUCUCAACCAUAAACGAUGCCGACUAGGGAUUGGCGGGCGUUGAUUUAAUGACCCCGCCAGCACCUUGUGAGAAAUCAAAGUUUUUGGGUUCGGGGAAAAUUGGGGGUCCAAAAA
rnacentral:rRNA from 1 species